rnacentral:rRNA from 1 species
UACGUAGGAGGCAAGCGUUGUCCGGAAUCACUGGGCGUAAAGCGCGUGUAGGCGGAUCGCUAAGUCUGUGGUGAAAGCGCCUGGCUUAACCGGGCGAGGUCCAUGGAAACUAGCGGUCUGGAGGCCGGUAGAGGGGGGUGGAAUUCCGGGUGUAGUGGUGAAAUGCGUAGAGAUCCGGAGGAACACCAGUGGCGAAGGCGGCCCCCUGGGCCGCGCCUGACGCUGAGACGCGAAAGCGUGGGGAGCAAACAGG